UUGACCUCGGAUCAGGUAGGAAUACCCGCUGAACUUAAGCAUAUCAAUAAGCGGAGGAAAAGAAACCAACAGGGAUUGCCUCAGUAACGGCGAGUGAAGCGGCAACAGCUCAAAUUUGAAAUCUGGCCUUUACGGUCCGAGUUGUAAUUUGUAGAGGAUGUUUUGGGCACCGCUCCGGGUUAAAUUUCUUGGAACAGAAUGUCAAAGAGGGUGAGAGUCCCGUCUUGGCCCGCGGUAGGACCUAUGUAAAACUCCUUCGACGAGUCGACUUGUUUGGGAAUGCAGGUCCAAAUGGGUGGUAAAUUUCAUCUAAAGCUAAAUAUUGGCCAGAGACCGAUAGCGCACAAGUAGAGUGAUCGAAAGAUGAAAAGCACUUUGAAAAGAGAGUUAAACAGUAUGUGAAAUUGUUGAAAGGGAAGCGCUGGCAACCAGACUCGAGCGCGGUGUUCCCCUUGGCUUCUGCCUUGGUUAUUUCACCGUGACCGGGCCAUCAUCAGUUUUGGGGGUUGGUUAAAGAUCUAGGGAAUGUAUCCUCUCUUUCGGGGGAGGACUUAUAGCCCUGGAUGUCAUGCAGCCUCCCGGGACUGAGGAACGCGCUUCGGCGAGGAUGAUGGCGUAAUGGUUGUCAGCGACCCGUCUUGAAACACGGACCAAGGAGUCUAACAUCUAUGCGAGUGUUCGGGUGUCAAACCCUUGCGCGGAAUGAAAGUGAACGGAGGUAGGAAGGCCUGAGCCUGCACUAUCGACCGAUCCUGAUGUCUUCGGAUGGAUUUGAGUAAGAGCAUAGCUGUUGGGACCCGAAAGAUGGUGAACUAUGCGUGAAUAGGGUGAAGCCAGAGGAAACUCUGGUGGAGGCUCGCAGCGGUUCUGACGUGCAAAUCGAUCGUCAAAUUUGCGUAUAGGGGCGAAAGACUAAUCGAACCAUUGGUAAUCACUACUAGGUGGUUAAGAGUCAAGUGUGAAAAGCACUGGCUAGUCGUGGGUCCACGGCAAGGUCGUCAAAUUGCGGGAACACCCUAAAGCCUGAGGUACCGCCGAACCGUCCCGAAAGGGCGACCGGCACCACGGAGAGAUUUCGUGGGUAUGGUAACAAUCCAAAGGAUGGUCCAGGUCAAGUCCUGGGCCGCUGUAAUGGGCAAUCCGCAGCCAAGCCUGUUUCCCCCCGUGGUAUGGGGGGAGAUUGGGUGCAGUUCAUCGACUAGAUGUCGACCGGGUUCCGGGCUUGUUCCCACAAGUCCAGGGCCUCAAGAUAUAGUCAGGCCCCCGGGGAGACCCGGGCGAGGGGAUGAAGUAGGGAGGAUUGGCCCCCGGUACCACGUCCACCAGACGUGACGGUCCUGCCUACCCGAAUCCCUUUGGCCGGUUCCAUUGGACCGGUGAGAC
rnacentral:rRNA from 1 species